rnacentral:rRNA from 1 species
UAAGGAAUAUUGGUCAAUGGACGCAAGUCUGAACCAGCCAUGCCGCGUGAAGGAUGAAGGUCCUCUGGAUUGUAAACUUCUUUUAUCUGGGACGAAAACGGGAUUUUUAUCUCAAUUGACGGUACCAGAGGAAUAAGCACCGGCUAACUCCGUGCCAGCAGCCGCGGUAAUACGGAGGGUGCGAGCGUUAUCCGGAUUUACUGGGUUUAAAGGGUGCGUAGGUGGGCUUAUAAGUCAGUGGUGAAAUCUCCGAGCUUAACUUGGAAACUGCCGUUGAUACUAUAGGUCUUGAAUUAUCUGGAGGUAAGCGGAAUAUGUCAUGUAGCGGUGAAAUGCUUAGAUAAGACAUAGAACACCAAUUGCGAAGGCAGCUUACUACAUAUAAAUUGACGCUGAGGCACGAAAGCGUGGGGAUCAAACA